UACGGAGGGUGCGAGCGUUGUCCGGAAUCACUGGGCGUAAAGGGCGCGUAGGCGGCCCGGUAAGUCGGAGGUGAAAUCCUGCGGCUUAACCGCAGGGCUGCCUUCUAAACUGCCAGGCUUGAGCACAGUAGAGGCAGGUGGAAUUCCCGGUGUAGCGGUGGAAUGCGUAGAGAUCGGGAAGAACACCGGUGGCGAAGGCGGGUCUCUGGGCCGAUACUGACGCUGAGGAGCGAAAGCGUGGGGAGCGAACAGG
rnacentral:rRNA from 1 species